AGGUGCUGGUGGGAAAUGGUGCUCUGGAGCUCAGGGACUGGAAAGCAAAGCAUGGAAUAAACUGUUGGAUUGUGGGCAGCACUUGGCAAGGCUGCAGCCCUGGAAAUAGUGCUGGUCCGGCUGAAGAUGCUGUAUGCUGCCACCAGAGCCACGGUGAAGAAGGAGUUUGGAGGGGGGCACAUAAAGGACGAGAUGUUUGGCACAGUGAAGGAGGACGUGUCCCUGAGUGGUUACCAGAAGCACAUGUCCUCCUGCUCUGCCCCAGCCCCGCUGACCGCAGCUGAGCAGGAGCUGCAGCAGAUCCGCAUCAAC